CGCAGCUAAUUGCGCGUCAACUUGUGAACUGCAGGACACAUGAACAUCGACAUUUCGAACGCACAUUGCGGUCCACGGAUACAAUUCCCGGACCACGCCUGGCUGAGGGUCGUUU
rnacentral:rRNA from 1 species